GACGAACGCUGGCGGCGUGCUUAACACAUGCAAGUCGAACGGAAAGGCCCUGCUUGCAGGGUGCUCGAGUGGCGAACGGGUGAGUAACACGUGGGUGAUCUGCCCCUUACUUUGGGAUAAGCCUGGGAAACUGGGUCUAAUACUGGAUAGGACCAUGCUGUAGGUGGUGUGGUGGAAAGAUUAUUUUCGGUAAGGGAUGAGCUCGCGGCCUAUCAGCUUGUUGGUGGGGUAAUGGCCUACCAAGGCGUCGACGGGUAGCCGGCCUGAGAGGGUGGACGGCCACAUUGGGACUGAGAUACGGCCCAGACUCCUACGGGAGGCAGCAGUGGGGAAUAUUGCACAAUGGGCGCAAGCCUGAUGCAGCGACGCCGCGUGGGGGAUGACGGCCUUCGGGUUGUAAACUCCUUUCAGCCAUGACGAAGCCUUCGGGUGACGGUAGUGGUAGAAGAAGCACCGGCUAACUACGUG
rnacentral:rRNA from 1 species